rnacentral:rRNA from 1 species
CGGGGUGAGUAACACGUGGGUAACCUGCCUUGUACAGGGGGAUAACAGUUGGAAACGGCUGCUAAUACCGCAUAAGCGCACGGCAUCGCAUGAUGCAGUGUGAAAAACUCCGGUGGUAUAAGAUGGACCCGCGUUGGAUUAGCUAGUUGGUGAGGUAACGGCCCACCAAGGCGACGAUCCAUAGCCGACCUGAGAGGGUGACCGGCCACAUUGGGACUGAGACACGGCCCAA